UAGGAUUAGUGAUGCAUUCUUCUCCUACAGAAGCAGGUGAUAUAGACUAACGGGCAAGAUGGCUUUGUCAUCUCCCUCCUGCUGAUAGGUAGCAUCUUACUUGGCACAAAUUAGGUUACUCUCUGUUGGCAUGAAUGUGCACGUUUGGCUGGAGCCAUGUUUCUUUGACAGUCUCUUUUGUAGCUGCCAAAAUUCAGCAAAUCCAAACCCAGCUCCACUUGCUGGACAGAUUAUUUCUGUCAGACAUGUUAAACCCAGUUUAACAUGCAGGCAAAAUGAAUAGUAGUGCUUAAUACUUUUACAGCUGCCUGUGUGCAACCUCACAUUAAUUUGUCUCUAAGGCCAAGCCCAAGGAAGCUGUACCAGUGGGAACAUCCAGAACCCAACGUGACCGCAGUCUGCAGAGAUGCUGCAGAGGAAGGAGGAUGCACAUGCGAGCAAAGGGAUUUCUUGCCUCCAUAACCAGCAAGAGAAUGUCAGCUUGGUAAGCAGCCAGCUCUAGCUACUGGCAUUUAUUUUGGACCUUUUCAGACACGUGGGUUUUCUGUCCUCUGCUGGGUUCUGUUUGUGUAUGUACAGAAGUUUGCUGGCCAUGCUGCCAAGACCCACAUUCCAGGUUUCUUUCUCUUGCUUCUUCUUUUCUGGCAAGGGCAAGGCAGCAAACAUAGGCCUUCCUCUCUCUUUAUUUUUUUCCUGCUCUAUGGAAUUAAAUACCAAAAGUGGGGAAGAUGGGCUGCAAAGCAUUUUUCUGUGCUUAGCAACACAGGAGUGGCGAAGGGGCAUCUCAGCCAGUGUGGCAAGUCAGCAGCAGGGAACUGGGGCCCCUUGGUCCCAAGGUGAGAGCAGCAGAAUGCCCUUCUCAGGCUCUAGCAGCUCAGAUUUGUUGUAUAGCAGCCAUUUCAGCAGCACCCCUGGAAGAAGUCAGGGAGCAGCAUAGUAGUCAGCAGCACGAAAUCAAACAGUCAUCAAUACAAGUAACUCCCUAGUUCCCAAGGCAUUGCCAAUUGUACCUUGCUUUCAGAGUCUUUUAAGAGCAUUCAGUAACCUGUUAGUCUUCUUCUCUAUGUCAUGCUGUUUCUAGCAUUUGGUCAUUUAAUUAUGAGGCAGGCUGGGAGACUGAAGGUUACUUCUAAUGGCAGUACCUUGCCCUGGUUGGGCUGCAUAAGCUGGAGCUUGUGAGGGUUUUCCUCAGCUGUGUGGAUUCCUGCUAUACUAAGAUGCAAAAAAACACUCACUCACCCUUAUGUCCCCUUCUCUUUCAGUGCCAAUUCGAGCUAGAGACCAACGGACACAUGAGACCUGCACCAUUUCUUGUGGGAACACACAGCUGACUCCUUCCUGCCAUCUAGGAGUGGACAUGUCCUGCUUCUGAACAAAGGUUCUCGACAAAGGUGGAGACUGAGUGCCUUGCAUGUCACCUACCCUACCGGGCUGGGCUGGCCAGCAUGGCAGCAAAUUGCAUUUCUGCUCCAAGAGACGUAGAAGAUGAUUGCCAGGGAGACCUGCUCUCCACAGCCCUACAGCAAUUCCUCUGGAGGCCUCCUCUCCAAUCGGGGGAUCGUUUCAUAAGGGAUCGAUGGUGAUUGCCAAAACCUCUCUGCCCUGAAGCCAGCAAGGAUUCUCUCCUUUACUUGUCUGGACUCCUGUGAGAUGAUAGAGAACCCACGUGAAUAGCCCUUGGGACCUUCUGCCCAGCCCAGCAUCAGAAGACAGACUUAAAGAGAGAUGGGAACGGAGGUGAUGCACCUGGUGGGCUGCAGUGGUCCAGAAGAGGUAGUGUGUUGGAGCCAAACACCUGCAUGCUAGAAGAGCAGUGUGUUGUCAUUGCCUGGGAGAUGAAUACAGCAGGACAUAGCACCAUGGCCACUGAAGGGGAAUGCAGUGUAGCACUGUUGGACAGGCCUAAUCAGUCCUCCAGGUGCAAGCACUCAAGCCCCUGACAAGAUCCCCAGACUGGCUGCCCUGAGCUGCCACUCAGGGGCUCAAGCAGAUGAAAGCACUGUGCUUGGAGAGCAGGUGGAGCUUGCCUGGGCCAAGGUUGAGGAUAAAUCUC
rnacentral:lncRNA from 1 species